CAGGAUCAUACUAAAAGCGCGUCUCCUUUUAUGUUAAAUAUUAAAGUAUAAAUGAAAUGAGUACAAUUAGUAAAAAAACCUCAUGAAAAAGAUGCUUGCAGAUAAUACAAAACAUACUAAUUACUGAUCAAUCAAUCCACAUUUGCUAGUUAUUAUGAUAAUUAGGAAAACAGAUUACAAUGACAGAAGAAAAAAAACAUAGUAUAAAGGAUAAAGAGAAAAUUGGUAUUGAUGCCCAAUUUGUUAAUAGUGAAGAACCAAAGGAAAAAAUUAAGAAUGUAUCUUUUCCUCAGAUGGUAAGCAAUG
rnacentral:lncRNA from 1 species